GAUGAACGCUGGCGGCGUGCCUAAUACAUGCAAGUCGAGCGAACAGACGAGGAGCUUGCUCCUCUGACGUUAGCGGCGGACGGGUGAGUAACACGUGGAUAACCUACCUAUAAGACUGGGAUAACUUCGGGAAACCGGAGCUAAUACCGGAUAAUAUAUUGAACCGCAUGGUUCAAUAGUGAAAGACGGUUUUGCUGUCACUUAUAGAUGGAUCCGCGCCGCAUUAGCUAGUUGGUAAGGUAACGGCCUACCAAGGCAACGAUGCGUAGCCGAGCUGAGAGGGUGAUCGGCCACACUAGAACUGAGACACGGUCCAGACUCCUACGGGAGGCAGCAGUAGGGAAUCUUCCGCAAUGGGCGAAAGCCUGACGGAGCAACGCCGCGUGAGUGAUGGAGGUCUUCGGAUCGGAAAACUCUGUUAUUAGGGAAGAACAAAUGUGUAAGUAACUAUGCACGUCUUGACGGUACCUAAUCAGAAAGCCACGGCUAACUACGUG
rnacentral:rRNA from 1 species